AAGGGUAUAGAUCAGUGGUAGAGCACAUGCUUAGCAUGCACGAGGUCCUGGGUUCAAUCCCCAGUAGCGCUG
rnacentral:tRNA from 1 species